AGUGAACGCUGGCGGUAGGCCUAACACAUGCAAGUCGAACGGCAGCACAGUAAGAGCUUGCUCUUACGGGUGGCGAGUGGCGGACGGGUGAGGAAUACAUCGGAAUCUACUUUUUCGUGGGGGAUAACGUAGGGAAACUUACGCUAAUACAGCAUACGACCUACGGGUGAAAGCGGGGGAUCUUCGCACCUUGCGCGAUUGAAUGAGCCGCUGUCGGAUUAGCUAGUUGGCGGGGUAAAGGCCCACCAAGGCGACGAUCCGUAGCUGGUCUGAGAGGAGGAUCGGCGACACUGGAACUGGGACACGGUCCUGGCUCCUACGGUAGGCAGCAGAGGGGAAUAUUGGACAAUGGGCGCAAGCCUUAUCCAGCCAUACCGCGUGGGUGAAGAAGGCGUUCGGUUUGUAAAGCCCUUUUGUUGGGAAAGAAAAGCAGCAGGUUAAUACCCCGCUGUUCUGACGGUACCCAAUGAAUAAGCACCGGCUAACUUCGUG
rnacentral:rRNA from 1 species